AAAUUGAAGAGUUUGAUCAUGGCUCAGAUUGAACGCUGGCGGCAGGCCUAACACAUGCAAGUCGAACGGUAACAGAAAGCAGCUUGCUGCUUUGCUGACGAGUGGCGGACGGGUGAGUAAUGUCUGGGAAACUGCCUGAUGGAGGGGGAUAACUACUGGAAACGGUGGCUAAUACCGCAUAACGUCGCAAGACCAAAGAGGGGGACCUUCGGGCCUCUUGCCAUCAGAUGUGCCCAGAUGGGAUUAGCUUGUUGGUGAGGUAACGGCUCACCAAGGCGACGAUCCCUAGCUGGUCUGAGAGGAUGACCAGCCACACUGGAACUGAGACACGGUCCAGACUCCUACGGGAGGCAGCAGUGGGGAAUAUUGCACAAUGGGCGCAAGCCUGAUGCAGCCAUGCCGCGUGUAUGAAGAAGGCCUUCGGGUUGUAAAGUACUUUCAGCGGGGAGGAAGGUG
rnacentral:rRNA from 1 species